GUAGGUCGUUUGGCAGCUGCGAGCGCGAGUAGGGAAAGGGCUGGGACUUCUCUGAGGAAGGUGGCGUGGGCAGUCACGGACUGUCGGCAGCAAAGCGCUGCUCAGGGCCCCUGCCCAAACUCACAUUCUCUUAAACAUUUUUUACUGGUCCUUCCUGUCUAAGCCGGGUGACUCCUACCCAGAGAAGCUUCUCCUGGCCAAGUUUUCUCUCACCCUUUUGCUCCAAUCAGUAUUAAGGGAAUCUCCUCUAACAAAUCUCUUGCACGUCUAAUCCUACCUUGGCAUUCGCUUUUUGGAGGACCUAACACAGAAGCUUUCCCUGCAAAAGCAGCAUUUAAGGUCCAGGUAUCACCCAAGGUGAUACUCCUACUCCUCUCCCCACCUCCUACUCCUCUCCCCACCUCCAGUUCUGCCAUUACGAAUAGACCUCCUUAAGUUCAAGUCUGAACCCCUUGAUCUGGCGAGAAUGAAAGCAGCUCCAGAAUCCCACUGCUGUCAGUGAACCCGAAUGCUCCAUGUGCAGACUUUCAGCCAUCAGUACUACAGGAAGUGCUGUUUUCUGUUCUUUAUGGAUCUCAUGGUCUUUCAUUUAUUCAACAACUGUUUGUUAAGAGUUAAAUAUGUUCAAUGCUGGGGAUAUACAGGUUAAAAAACUAUGUUGUCUGUCUUCAAGGAGUCAUAUUCGUGUGGGUUACAUAGAUGAUCAUACUACAAGUGUUCUGUGGGGUAUGAAUGUAAGUUCCAAAUGGCCAGGAUUACUCUGCAAAAACCCUCGAACAUGUAACAACUGGACAGCUAGGAUGGUCCUGACAGGCUGCUUGUUCCCAUAAGCCUGGGCAGCCAGGGAUGGAUCAGGUUUUCUGGGGCCAUGAGCUUGCAUAAAGUGGGAGCCUACAUGAAGAAAAUGAACAUAAAAAUUAGGCCUUCACAUUUUACAAAAUCAUGAGACCAUGGGAGCACAUUGCCAGAGCCUUGGGGCCUUGGAAAGGACCCAGCAAGUGAGAGGCCCUGAAGCUGAAGUUUCAGUGUCUUCUCAUAAAUCCGUCUUAAGACUCGGUCCAUUUAUGAAAGCAUUAGGAUGGUUCUAGAUUGUACCAUGGUAUGUUGGGGCUCUACAAUCAGAUUGGCAGAUGUAUACCAGACUGAUUUAGAUAACCUCUGCCAGAUACUUCCUGAGUAUCUCAGGGAAAGUUAUUUAAAUUCUCUAAGCCUCAAUUUCCUAUAUUAGUAGACCCACUUCAUAUGAUAGUUGCAAAGAUUAAACUAUAUAAGCAUGUAAAACAUUUUAGCAUGGCUCAUAAUUAGUGCCUAUUAAGUGUUAGCUAUUAUUAAUUAUCAGUAUUAAAAUCUGAAGUAGCUGAACUCUGCCCUGAAUUUGCCUUUUCAGAACUCACAGAUCUUUGGUUCCUCACAACACAAAAUUCCAGGGAGCAUCUGUAAGGAAACAUAAUUUGUAAGGAGUGUCUGUAAAGAAUUAAAAUCCAGAAUCUCCAAAUCUAGAGUUUCCUGGUUAGAAGGAGAUGCUGGACUCUCCUACUCUCUCCCCCAUAACUUUCUCCUCCCAGUGGAUCAUCUGGCCACCAUCCUGGCUGGAUGAGAAGGAGCUGCUCCUCCUUGAGUACACUGAGACCAAUCUGGACUAUGAAAAAAGAAUUAACUAAAAUCUAGGAGAUAGUUUUAAAACAGAAUAAAUCGAAAUAGUAUCCAAGGUAAAGUUUGCUUUCUCACAGAUACCUCUCAUUCCACAUGAGGCCUUCGGGGGAAAAAUGUUGCUUGGAUUCCUCCUAGCUUCCAGACUUCCUCAUCAUGGUCAGUACCAUAGACAAGUACCUACCACAUAGUUGUACAAUCCCAGGCAUAGAACUAACAUACAGUUAUGCAGGUUGGGCACUGCAUAAAGCUAUCACAUCUAAGAAGGCACCAUUGAAACUGAAGACAUCAUAGAUAUCUAUGUUUACCAAAAUAAUUUUCUGGCAAAUGGCAGCUAAAUGUUUUGUUACAUAGUCAGUACAUUAUGAUACUUUUAUAGUCAUUGAAAGUAGAAUGUCUUAAGGAAGUAUUGGGGAGGUGGUGACUUUUUCCACUUUGUACAGAUUUAUGAUGUGGGCAUGUCUGGGCAGGUAGAAUAUUCAAAGUCUAGGAAGAGGAAGAUAGAUCCAGCAUCCUGGCCUGUUGCCCCAAAACUACAGCCCGCCCUCUCAGUUUUCAUUUCCGAUUUAAGGCCCUACCUCUUCCUCUAGCAAUUGACGUAGAGAAUCGCUCCACCCUUCAGCCAAGAGAUUUUGACUUUACUGCUGCAAAGCUUAACAAUAUAACUAGAUAUGCAUAUAAUACAAUAAUCUACAACAAUAAAUACAGCUAGUAAUAGAGACCAAUUUCCUUAUUCAUGUUCUAAAAUACACACACACAUAGUUUUUGUUUAUUUUAAGGCCAUGUUAAUUUCAGUAAAAACAAAUUUCAGUUACCCGAAUGGCGAAGCAUGUAUUAAAUUGGGUAAUAGACUGUAUCUGCUGUUCUUUUUGACAACUUCAGCUUUUAUAACAUCACAUCUAAGACAAAAGGAAAAUAUUACUAAGUUGAUUUGGUUUUCAAUGUAAUACUUAUCAGAUCUGAUGUCAUAGUUCCUGAAACAUCAAUGAAAAGAGAACGUUCAGUUUUUCAAAUGUGUUGGCCCAAUAUAAAUAUAGCUGUAUCCAACAACAUAAGACCUAACCAUAUUUAGCCUUCCUAUCUUUAGGGUAAGUAUAUUCCUUGAAACAUGGUCCUUAUUGCAAUAUUUUGUACCAUGUUUAAUUCUCAGCAUGUUCUGAGAUUUAAGUUAAAACAAAGCUUUAAAUAAAAAAGAAAACAGUUUUUAAGAUUAUCUUUUAACUGCAAUGUAGAAUUUCCAAGUUAAUUCAAAAAAUAGUAACUUUUUAUUAUUUAAAAAAUUUUUUGUGAAAUAUACCAUACCUCCACAAUAGUGUAUAUAUUUUUAUGUGCUCUUUAAAGAAUAGAAGAAUAGCUCUAUACAUACUAUCCAUCUUAAGACAUAGAACAUUACUAGUACCUUAGAAGUUGCCUUUCUAUCUCUCCCUGAGUAUGCCUGUUUCCCUGUCCACCAUAAGUAAUCAUAUGUAGAAACUUUGUUAACCAUUCCAUGCUUCUAGUAAUUGUUUUAUCAUGUAUGUAUCUCUAAGCAAUAUAUUGUCUAAUUUUGUC